UACGAAGGGAGCAAGCGUUGUUCGGAAUUACUGGGCGUAAAGCGUGCGCAGGCGGUUGUGCAAGACAGAUGUGAAAUCCCCGGGCUUAACCUGGGAAUUGCAUUUGUGACUGCACGGCUAGAGUGUGUCAGAGGGGGGUAGAAUUCCACGUGUGAGCAGUGAAAUGCGUAGAUAUGUGGAGGAAUACCGAUGGCGAAGGCAGCCCCCUGGGAUAACACUGACGCCUCAUGCACGAAAGCGUGGGGAGCAAACAGG
rnacentral:rRNA from 1 species